rnacentral:rRNA from 1 species
GCAUAUCAAUAAGCGGAGGAAAAGAAACCAACAGGGAUUGCCCUAGUACGGCGAGUGAAGCGGCAACAGCUCAAAUUUGAAAUACUGGCGCAAGCCCGAGUUGUAAUUUGUAGAGGAUGCUUCUGGGUAGCGACCGAUCUAAGUUCCUUGGAACAGGACGUCAUAGAGGGUGAGAAUCCCGUAUGUGACCGGCCCGCACCCUUUACGUAGCUCCUUCGACGAGUCGAGUUGUUUGGGAAUGCAGCUCUAAAUGGGAGGUAAAUUUCUUCUAAAGCUAAAUACCGGCCAGAGACCGAUAGCGCACAAGUAGAGUGAUCGAAAGAUGAAAAGUACUUUGGAAAGAGAGUUAAAAAGCACGUGAAAUUGUUGAAAGGGAAGCGCCUGCAACCAGACUUCGCGGCAGUGUUCCGCCGGUCUUCUGACCGGUUAUUCUCUGUCGCGAGGCCAUCAUCGUCUGGGCCCGCCGGAUAAGACCUGAGGAAUGUGGCUCCCCCUCGGGGGAGUGUUAUAGCCUCUGGUGAUGCGGCGUGGCUCGGCCGAGGACCGCGCUUCGGCAAGAAGGAUGG